GGAAUAUUGGACAAUGGGGGGAACCCUGAUCCAGCGACGCCCCGUGAGUGAAGUAGUAUUUCGGUAUGUAAAGCUCUAUCAGCAGGGAAGAAAGAAAUGACGGUACCUGACCAAGAAGCCCCGUCUAACUACGUGCCAGCAGCCGCGGUAAUACGUAGGGGGCAAGCGUUAUCCGGAUUCACUGGGUGUAAAGGGAGCGUAGACGGCGACGCAAGUCUGGAGUGAAAGCCCGGGGCCCAGCCCCGGGACUGCUCUGGAAACUGCGGCGCUGGAGUACGGGAGGGGCAGGCGGAAUUCCUGGUGUAGCGGUGAAAUGCGUAGAUAUCAGGAGGAACACCGGCGGCGAAGGCGGCCUGCUGGACCGUGACUGACGUUGAGGCUCGAGAGCGUGGGGAGCA
rnacentral:rRNA from 1 species